rnacentral:rRNA from 1 species
CGGCAAUUGCUCAAAUUUAAAAUCUGACUUCUUUUGAGGUCCGAAUUGUAAUUUGGAGAGGAUGCUUCGGGUGUGGCCCCGGUCUAAGUUCCUUGGAACAGGACGUCACAGAGGGUGAGAAUCCCGUACGUGCCCGGUGGCCGCCCCCGUGUGAAGCUCCUUCGAC